UGUCACCGGCAGGACGAUGGGAUGAGAGACAGGCCAGGCAGGCUGUCACAGAGCAGGGAUAUGGGAUGAGAGACAGGCCAGGCAGGCUGUCACAGAGCAGGGCGAUGGGAUGAGAUACAGGCCAGGCAGGCAGUCACAGAGCAGGGAUAUGGGAUGAGAUAGACAGGCAGGCUGUCAGUGUGGCCCCUGGCGCAAACACCUAAUCUGAAGCCUGCUGUCACAAAUCCCUUUAACUUUAUACCCCUUGGACUCCCCUCACAUGCGCACGCAGGGACAAACACACAUCAUGCACACUCGCAGAUGCUGGCAUGCAUGCAUACAGACACAUGCACACUGGUGCUGCCAGCUGGCUUUAACACCCACAGCUCUUAAUCCCAAUCUGACCAUGGGGCUGAAGACCACAGUGGAAGUGUGAUAUAUACACACAGAGGGGUUGUUGGCAGUGAUAACAUGGACACAGUAACAAACAUCUGUAGUCUUGUUUAGCGGUCCGGUGAUGUGACCUGGCAGUAUGUCAAGGCACCAGAAUAUGAUUAGUACAGAACAAGCCAAGGGGUUAUGAUGAGUGUCUGUAUGUUAGUCAGUGCAGCUAAUUUAAAGGGGUUUCUUUUCAUGAUCGUAAGAUCUGGCAUCUGUAUGAACUUUUCAAUAGUUGGGAAUGUUGCGCCUCACUGCUUUAUGGAUCCAGAUAAAGUGAAUUGUGAAUGUGUGAUCCCUAUACCAUUAUUUUCCAGUAAUAGCUCACAUCAUUGUGUGAGAGGACAGCAAAGAUUUUGGGGGGCAAUAUCUUGGGGUUUAGCUGCCUCUGUGGGUCAGGACUCAGGAGAGAUCUAGGAUCUAGUACUGAGGGGUUAAACUAAACUGUCAUCCACUGAUUACAUUGUUUUAAUCUGCUGUUUUCGGGAGCGGACCCCUACUAGGGGGUGAUGCAUCCGUCUGGGUGGCCCCUCUGUCCUGGUCUGUCCGGACGUCAUGUCCCCUUACAUCCAACAUCUGCUCAGGGUCACCUCUAUGAUUGUGAUCACAGGACCUCAAGCCUCUUUGUUCUGCUACCCCCGUCGCCAUGCCGCUACCCCCGUCGCCUGCCGCUACCCCCGUCGCCAUGCCGCUACCCCGAUCCCCUACCCCGUCGCCAUGCCGCUACCCCGUCGCCAUGCCGCUACCCCGUCGCCAUGCCGCUACCCCGUCGCCAUGCCGCACCCCGUCGCCAUGCCGCUUACCCCGUCGCCAUGCCGCUACCCCGUCGCCAUGCCGCUACCCCCGUCGCCAUGCCGCUACCCCCGUCGCCAUGCCGCUACCCCCGUCGCCAUGCCGCUACCCCCGUCGCCAUGCCUUCCUAUGUCCAAAGACUACUCUGUGCUUUACAGAUAUUCCCUUUAUCUAUGAAAACAUUUGAAUAAAUUAAUUUGACUACUGCCGCAUAGGCAAAGUGUGAGCUUACUUAUUUAAGCAUGAUCGUGCAUAAAUUAUAAAUAAAUAUAAAGCUGUAAAACCUAAAACCUAUAAACUCAGAGGGAACAAUGGAAAUGACUGGCGUUGGCAAUGUCCUUAUAUGAUGCUGUGACAAAGGCUUGUAUUGUACAUGUAGAUACUGCUUCCCUAAAGACCAAGUUUUAUGUUAACAAGCCAUUGUUACGCAGCCCUUUAAAUCUUUCCUCUUCUGUCCAUUGAGUUUGAGUGUAUACACACAUACAGACCAAUAGGAAUAAAAUCUAUGGCGAGUAAUACUAAUGGUGAAUGAGCCGUUGAACAGCAUUCCAAUUCACAGAAGGGCGGAAACAUAACCUUGAAGAACAAUUGUGAAAUGUCCCUUUAUAUUCAUCAUCUCCAGCACCACCUCAACAUAUGUGAAAAUGGCACGUUUCUAUGUUCUGCAGUAAAAAAAGAGGAAGAUAAGUGUUUCCAAUGAUCUCAACCAAUUAGUAGGCAAUGCCUACUCAUAAUUGGUUAACAAUCACGAUACACACCAAUGAUAUCAUUGGAAACACUCACCUUCCGCCAUUUUCACAUUCAGUUGGUUGAUGUUGGGCCGGUCCUGGAGAUGAUUAAUAUGAAGUUGAAAAAUAGUGAAACUUGACUUUAAUUUAAAUAGGCAAAUAGGUUUCGACAGGGUUAUGUAGAGCGUGAAAAGGGUUAACGCUACUGCAACAUGAUGGACCAGUGAGACAUGUAGAGGGUCCCCUCUUCAGCGUCUGCUAAACUCUCCCAGUUUAACCCCAACAGAUAUCCUGCUUUUCUUCUCAAGACAAAUGUUUACAAUACAUGGCCUUCGCCCCCUGCCUUGGGUUGUCUCUUCUUUUGCAUCAUGCAAGCAGUAUUGAAUACCACAGGCUGUGGUUUAGCACUGCCAUUUGAAUCAAUCCAUUCGGAACAGGUGCCACUGAAGGUUCUAAUGAAUGAGCCUGUUUUGAAAGCCUUCCAGCCGAAAAAGUCGACUUUCCUGUUGAAAAAUACGUUUAUCUGAUAUUUUUCACCCGUCCAGGGCAUUGAGCAGCCGUUUCAAUAAAACUGCUUUGCAAUGGAAAGAUUAGCCUAGCUUAAAGCUCCGGCACGAACUUCAAAGCAAGUCAGCGCAACAGACAUAUUGACGACGAAGCACAUUGCUGCAUGCGUUUUUACGCAUUCACCACACCGAGUUCAAUUAAUAUGCUGAGUAUAGCAAACGUAACACCUUCCUAAUAGAGUUGCGCACCCCCUUACAAGUGAUCAUAGCUUUCACCUGGUCAGUCUUAUGAAAAUACCAGGUGUUCUUAAUGUUCUGUAUACUCAAUGUAUAUGCCCUCCUGUUUGAUGGAUACAUAUCGUUUGUUGUCCCACUUGAUGAUUAAGAAAUGUGUCCAGUAACCAUCCUCCACUAGAGAGCUCUUUAUACCCUAGCUCUCAAACUCCAGGCAGCAUACCGCCAUUAGCUUCGCUCACGACUGCCUCAUGUGAUCUACAAUCCCGAUGCUGCGUUAACGUUUACAAAAACGUCAAUAAUCGCUUGCAACACGGCUUUCAAAACAUAUGGCCCUUUCAACCGCGAGAAGAAUCAUUACAAUAAAAAAUAUACACUUACUGUAGCAGUUUUGCACAGAUCCAUACAACUAUGGGUGCCUCCAUCCGAUGAAACUACACUUCCCGAGUUAAGUUUACACACAGGUGUUCGCCUCUUGUCUUCAGCAAACAAGCACUGUAGCGUGGAGAUAUGGCCUUGUGGGAACACUAACCGUACAAAGGUGUGUAUCAAUUUACCUUUUUUUUAACGAUUUCUCGCUGAUAUGAAAGAUAAGGUCCUUAUGCUUCCGAAACCGUACUGCAAGCAAUGCAUGUUAAAUGUUCAGAGUCUGGGAUCAUAAUUAACAAAAUGCCCCACUUCAGGAGCCGCCUUCGCCCAAAUGACUUAAUAAGUGUAAUGGAAUGGAACGGAG
rnacentral:lncRNA from 1 species